rnacentral:rRNA from 1 species
GACGAACGCUGGCGGCGUGCCUAAUACAUGCAAGUAGGACGCAGUUGCGAACGGGUGAGUAACGCGUAGGUAACUACCUAUUAGAGGGGGAUAACUAUUGGAAACGAUAGCUAAUACCGCAUACUAGUAGAUGGACCUGCGUUGUAUUAGCUAGUAGGUCGGGUAAUGGCCUCCCUAGGCAACGAUACAUAGCCGAGCUGAGAGGGAGAUCGGGCACACUGGGAACGUGACAAGGCCCCAGAUCCUACGGGAGGCAGCAGUAGGGAAUCUUCGGACAUGGGGCGAACCCUGAACGAGCAAAGGCGGGGGAGUGAAGAAGGUUUUCGGAGCGUAAAGCUAUGUUGUUAAGGAAGCGGUACUUAACCAGAAAGGGCCGGCUAACUACGUGCCAGCAGCCGCGGUAAUUC